rnacentral:rRNA from 1 species
AUUGAACGCUGGCGGCAGGCCUAACACAUGCAAGUCGAACGAGUGGCGUACGGGUGAUUUAUGUCUGGGACACUGCCUGAUGGAGGGGGAUAACUACUGGAAACGGUUGCUAAUACCGCAUACCAUCAGAUGUGCCCAGAUGGGUUUAGCUGGUUGGUGGGGUAAAGGCUCACCAAGGCGACGAUCUCUAGCUGGUCUGAGAGGAUGACCAGCCACACUGGAACUGAGACACGGUCCAGACUCCUACGGGAGGCAGCAGUGGUGAAUAUUGCACAAUGGGCGCAAGCCUGAGGCAGCCAUGCCGCGUGUAUGAAGAAGGCCUUCGGGCUGUAAAGUACUUUCAGCGGGGAGGCGUUACCCGCAGAAGAAGCACCGGCUAACUCCGUGCCAGCAGCCGCGGUAAUAC